rnacentral:tRNA from 1 species
GCGGAUGUGGCGGAAUUGGUAGACGCGCUGGUCUCAGAAGCCAGAGAGGUGUAAGCUUCGUGGAGGUUCGAGUCCUCUCAUCCGCACAA